rnacentral:lncRNA from 1 species
UUCUCGUCCAGGGCACGUGGGGGACCGUGUGUGAUGAUCUCUGGGACCUGGCUGAGGCCACUGUCGUGUGCCGCCAGCUGCAGUGUGGCCAGGCUGUGGCAGCCCCCACAGGGGCCCACUUUCGGGCAGGCUCUGGGAAGAUCUUACUGGAUGACAUGCAGUGUGUGGGCAGUGAGAGCCAUCUGGGUCAAUGCAUGCGUGGGGACCAGGCCAGGCACAACUGUGGGCACCUGGAGGAUGCCAGUGUCAUCUGCACAGGUGCUGGCAAUUCACCAGGUCUCGCUCCAACCACAGAGCCUGAAGCUGUCACUUCAUCAUACACACCAUCAGGUCAAGCACUGUUAUUAGCUGUGCCCACCACAAAGCCUGCUGUGCUUCCCUCAACCCCC